GAUGAACGCUGGCGGCGUGCCUAAUACAUGCAAGUCGAGCGAACGGACGAGAAGCUUGCUUCUCUGAUGUUAGCGGCGGACGGGUGAGUAACACGUGGAUAACCUACCUAUAAGACUGGGAUAACUUCGGGAAACCGGAGCUAAUACCGGAUGAUAUUUUGAACCGCAUGGUUCAAAAGUGAAAGACGGUCUUGCUGUCACUUAUAGAUGGAUCCGCGCUGCAUUAGCUAGUUGGUAAGGUAACGGCUUACCAAGGCAACGAUGCAUAGCCGACCUGAGAGGGUGAUCGGCCACACUGGAACUGAGACACGGUCCAGACUCCUACGGGAGGCAGCAGUAGGGAAUCUUCCGCAAUGGGCGAAAGCCUGACGGAGCAACGCCGCGUGAGUGAUGAAGGUCUUCGGAUCGUAAAACCCUGUUAUUAGGGAAGAACAUAUGUGUAAGUAACUGUGCACAUCUUGACGGUACCUAAUCAGAAAGCCACGGCUAACUACGUG
rnacentral:rRNA from 1 species